rnacentral:rRNA from 1 species
CACGUGGGUAACCUGCCUGUAAGACUGGGAUAACUCCGGGAAACCGGGGCUAAUACCGGAUGCUUGUUUGAACCGCAUGGUUCAGACAUAAAAGGUGGCUUCGGCUACCACUUACAGAUGGACCCGCGGCGCAUUAGCUAGUUGGUGAGGUAACGGCUCACCAAGGCGACGAUGCGUAGCCGACCUGAGAGGGUGAUCGGCCACACUGGGACUGAGACACGGCCCAGACUCCUACGGGAGGCAGCAGUAGGGAAUCUUCCGCAAUGGACGAAAGUCUGACAGAGCAACGCCGCGUGAGUGAUGAAGGUUUUCGGAUCGUAAAGCUCUGUUGUUAGGGAAGAACAAGUGCCGUUCAAAUAGGGCGGCACCUUGACGGUACCUAACCAGAAAGCCACGGCUAACUACGUGCCAGCAGCCGCGGUAAUACGUAGGUGGCAAGCGUUGUCCGGAAUUAUUGGGCGUAAAGGGCUCGCAGGCGGUUUCUUAAGUCUGAUGUGAAAGCCCCCGGCUCAACCGGGGAGGGUCAUUGGAAACUGGGGAACUUGAGUGCAGAAGAGGAGAGUGGAAUUCCACGUGUAGCGGUGAAAUGCGUAGAGAUGUGGAGGAACACCAGUGGCGAAGGCGACUCUCUGGUCUGUAACUGACGCUGAGGAGCGAAAGCGUGGGGAGCGAACAGGAUUAGAUACCCUGGUAGUCCACGCCGUAAACGAUGAGUGCUAAGUGUUAGGGGGUUUCCCGCCCCCUUAGUGCUGC